UACAGAGGUCUCAAGCGUUGUUCGGAUUCAUUGGGCGUAAAGGGUGUGUAGGUGGCGCGCUAAGUCGGGUGUGAAAUUUCGGAGCUUAACUCCGAAAUUGCAUUCGAUACUGCCGUGCUCGAGGACUGGAGAGGAGACUGGAAUUCAUGGUGUAGCAGUGAAAUGCGUAGAGAUCAUGAGGAAGACCAGUGGCGAAGGCGGGUCUCUGGACAGUUCCUGACACUGAGGCACGAAGGCCAGGGGAGCAAACGGG
rnacentral:rRNA from 1 species